CAGCAGCCGCGGUAAUACGGAGGGUGCAAGCGUUAAUCGGAAUUACUGGGCGUAAAGCGCACGCAGGCGGUCUGACAAGUCAGAUGUGAAAUCCCCGGGCUUAACCUGGGAACUGCAUUUGAAACUGUCAGGCUGGAGUCUUGUAGAGGGGGGUGGAAUUCCAGGUGUAGCGGUGAAAUGCGUAGAGAUCUGGAGGAAUACCGGUGGCGAAGGCGGCCCCCUGGACAAAGACUGACGCUCAGGUUCGAAAGCGUGGGGAGCAAACAGGAUUAGAUACCCCGGUAGUCCCUGUCUCUUAUAC
rnacentral:rRNA from 1 species